AGCGAACGCUGGCGGCAGGCCUAACACAUGCAAGUCGAACGAACUCUUCGGAGUUAGUGGCGGACGGGUGAGUAACACGUGGGAACGUGCCUUUAGGUUCGGAAUAACUCAGGGAAACUUGUGCUAAUACCGAAUGUGCCCUUCGGGGGAAAGAUUUAUCGCCUUUAGAGCGGCCCGCGUCUGAUUAGCUAGUUGGUGAGGUAAAGGCUCACCAAGGCGACGAUCAGUAGCUGGUCUGAGAGGAUGAUCAGCCACAUUGGGACUGAGACACGGCCCAAACUCCUACGGGAGGCAGCAGUGGGGAAUCUUGCGCAAUGGGCGAAAGCCUGACGCAGCCAUGCCGCGUGAAUGAUGAAGGUCUUAGGAUUGUAAAAUUCUUUCACCGGGGACGAUAAUGACGGUACCCGGAGAAGAGGCCCCGGCUAACUUCGUG
rnacentral:rRNA from 1 species